UCUUUAUUGGGGUUGAGGACAUACCACAUAUAAGAGGUCAUUAUAGACGAAGAAGUUUGGAAAAACUCAUCAUAGAAGGUAAUAAUCCUGUAGUCAAAAUAAUAAUUCUUUAGGUAUGAUCCAGAGUACCACGGGACACGUGAAACCCUGUGGGAAGCAGGAGGGACCACCCUCCAAGGCUAAAUACUACCUAGUGACCGAUAGCGUAUAGUACCGUGAGGGAAAGGUGAAAAGAACCCCGGGAGGGGAGUGAAAUAGAACCUGAAACCCUGCACUUACAAGCUGUGGAAGCACAUUUCUUGUGUGACCGCGUACUUUUUGUAGAACGGGCCAACGAGUUACGUUAAGUAGCAAGGUUAAGCACUUAAGGUGUGGAGCCGUAGCGAAAGCGAGUUUUAACUGAGCGUUCAGUUACUUGACGUAGACCCGAAACCGGGCGACCUACCCAUGAGCAGGAUGAAGCGAAAGUAAAAUUUCGUGGAGGUCCGAACCCACGAGCGUUGAAAAGCUCGGGGAUGACUUGUGGGUAGCGGUGAAAUUCCAAUCGAGCCCGGAGAUAGCUGGUUCUCCCCGAAAUAGCUUUAGGGCUAGCCUCAAGGUGAGAGAUACGGAGGUAGAGCACUGAAUGUCCUAGGGGGUAUUGCACCUACCGAAGACUAUCAAACUCCGAAUGCCGUCAUCUUAUACUUGGGAGUCAGACUGUGGGUGAUAAGAUUCAUAGUCGAAAGGGCAACAGCCCAGAUCGUCAGCUAAGGUCCCUAAAUGUAAGUUAAGUGGUAAAGGAUGUGGGAUUGCACAGACAACCAGGAUGUUGGCUUAGAAGCAGCCACUCAUUCAAAGAGUGCGUAAUAGCUCACUGGUCGAGUGAUCCUGCGCCGAAGAUUUCCGGGGCUAAAACUUACUACCGAAGCUACGGCAUCAGUAAUGAUGGGUAGGGGAGCUUCCCAUACGGGUUGAAGCAUGACCGUAAGGACAUGUGGACAGUAUGGGAGUGAGAAUGUUGGCAUGAGUAGCGAGAUGUGGGUGAGAAUCCCACAGGCCGUAAACCCAAGGUUUCCAGGGGAAGGUUCGUCCGCCCUGGGUUAGUCGGGACCUAAGCUGAGGCCGAAAGGCGUAGGUGAUGGACAACAGGUUGAUAUUCCUGUACUACCGAUAACCGUUUGAGAGAAGGGAUGACACAGUAGGAUAAGCUAAGCACACUGUUGGUUAUGUGUGCCCAAGCAUUGAGGCAGUCAAAGUAGGCAAAUCCGCUUUGAUAAUGCUGGGAUGUGAUGGGGAGCGAAAUUUAGUAGCGAAGUAGCUGAUUUCACACUGUCAAGAAAAGUCUCUAUCGAGGUUAAAGGUACCCGUACCGCAAACCGACACAGGUGGGUGAGGAGAGUAUCCUAAGGCCAGCGAGAGAACUGUUGUUAAGGAACUCGGCAAAAUGACCCCGUAACUUAGGGAUAAGGGGUGCCACCAUUAGGUGGCCGCAGAGAAUAGGCCCAAGCGACUGUUUACCAAAAACAUAGGUUUCUGCUAAGUCGCAAGACGAUGUAUAGGAGCUGACGCCUGCCCGGUGCUGGAAGGUUAAGGGGAUCUGUUAGAG
rnacentral:rRNA from 1 species